rnacentral:rRNA from 1 species
AUGGAUAAAAUGCACAAGGAGGAGGCAGUGAAAACCACCUAUCAUGAAGAUACUACCAGUACUGAUGGAUCAAGCACAGCUGAAUACGAUCCAUGGAAUCCGCCGUAUCCUCCAUGCCCUCCUGCUGUUGGACUUAGCUUAAGUGACUCUAUCCGUUUAGUAGCUAAGUGGUCACGUGAGAAAGAAGCUGCAAUUGGUGCCAUCAGAGCAUCCAGUAUAAUCUUCCCAGACCGCAUCCCUAAGGAGGUGAAUCAUGUCUUCUAUGAUAGAGUGCACCAUUUGGCACCCAUCCUGGAUAAGGAUAGCGUCCGGCGCUUUCUCCGCUUUUUCCGGGGAAAUGGGGCGGGCAUGCAAUGGGGUUCGAUCAUCACCCCAGAGGCUUUGAACCAUAUGAUUGCACAAAAUGCGGUAAAAUGUGUCAAAGCUGCCUUGGAGGGUCAGGCACCUGAGCUUGAUGGGUGCCGGGCCGGUCCCAACUGCAUGAACCAGUAUGGAUACUAUCCCCUCCACCGAGCUGCUGAAUUGUUUUCUGUUGACAUGAUUCAAUUGCUCAUCCGCCAUGGCGCGUCCGCCAAUCUACGCACAGCUGGUGCUGAGGUCAUCGAGGGCCUUCUCCCACUCCAUGUUGCAGUCGAGAACACGUGCAUGCACAAGUAUCUAGAAGACAGUCUAUUUCCUAACCACGAGCAUCGGGAUUACAGUGAGGCAGAUGCCCACUUUAUCUUCAAGCUCAUCCAUCUUUUGUGCCUACCUGAAAUGAAAAUCUUUUUGGAUUCCACUAGGCUGAUCGCAAAACACACAGAUAAUCUACUUGAUGAGCUUUGGAAUUACAUAAAAGAUGGAAAGCUUGCUGAGACAGCCGUUUUGCUACUGGCAGCCCAAGAGCAGAUCCGCAUGGGAACUUCCUGUAAGAAAAUUGGAAAUAGUAAGGCAGAUGGGUUUCAGGUUAUCUACAAAUGUAUUAUGGACAACAGUAUCAAAUUACAGUCUGAAAAGGGCCAAAACCUAAUGGAAAAGGAGGAAUUGGAGACUAAAAUAAAGCUUCGUCAUACAGCAAUGAUGCUUGUUCAUGUAAUUUCCAAAGCUGGUGAAGGUCUUGAAUCAUACAUUCGAAACCAUCUAGAGGCACCCCAUUUCAUGCAGGUGCCCUGUUUGGAGGUCCUUGAACGUGUUUCAUCGAUUCUCAAGGAUCAUGGUUUUUCUCCUGCUCCAGAAUGUGUAGACAUCAGAAACCUCUGCCCCUAUCAUGAUGUGUUGUCAAGUGAGGAAAUACCUAGAAAACCUGGCAGUGUUGCCGCUUCCAGGCUGCAAGGAGGAAGAGAAAACCGAGACGAUGGGAGCUCAAACUCGCCAGGAGAAGCUUCUUCCCAUGGUGGAGAUCGGUGUUAUCUGCCCGGUCUAAUGCCAGGAUCACCCCCCACAAAUGGGCACGUCCUUCUGAAUGCUUGGAUCUCGAGAUGGCUUGGAAGAAACCUACUCAAGGCUUGGAUGGUGAGACAGCUUCGAAGAAGGCAACCGUCGAGGAUGGGUCUGCUUCUGCAGCUCACGGCGUGA